rnacentral:tRNA from 2 species
GGUGUAGCGCAGUUUGGUAGCGCGCCUGCUUUGGGAGCAGGAUGUCGCAGGUUCGAAUCCUGUCACC